CCUACGGGAGGCAGCAGUGAGGAAUAUUGGUCAAUGGGCGAGAGCCUGAACCAGCCAAGUAGCGUGCAGGAUGACGGCCCUAUGGGUUGUAAACUGCUUUUAUAAGGGAAUAAAGUGAGCCUCGUGAGGCUUUUUGCAUGUACCUUAUGAAUAAGGACCGGCUAAUUCCGUGCCAGCAGCCGCGGUAAUA
rnacentral:rRNA from 1 species